rnacentral:lncRNA from 1 species
AAAAUUUCUAUCAUCCAAUUAAAUUCUUUCUAUUUGUAGCUGAAUUUAUGGGCUAAAUUUAACAAAUCUGGAAGCUAAAUUGAGAAGUAUUAUUGCCUUUCACUCUUCUAAACAUAUGUAGUGCGAUUGUACAUUAUCACACCAACGGCAUCUUCAUUCAGCGGACUAGAUAGAUUAAGAUACAUGGAAAGUUGAGGAAGAAACUCUUUAAGCACAUUAUCGAUAUCUGUAAAGGAAUGCAAGGAAAAUUAAAGAAAAUGGUUCCCAAUUUCCAACCACAACAAUAAUUAACAAGCAUUAAAAAACAACAAUUAACCAAAAAAAGAAAAAAAAAGUGUUCCAAAGCAUAAAUAUUCAUAAGCUAGUCGCAAAUAAACAAGUUUUCAAUCUAACAUCUAGUUUCAACACAAGCAUGUUGCUCUAUCUACAUAUACCAAUUGACUUUAUUGGCUAGUUAAAAGCUAUCACAAAUGCUCUGUUAUAAACUAAUCAACAAUCACUUCCUUAAUCUAAUCUAUUCAAUCUUAAAGCUUUGUUAAUAAGAAGGCAAAAAUAUAGCAGACCUUAUUGCACAUUCAAUUUGUAUAAUAGACCGCAUUGCACUUCUCUAAGACAUUGACUAUAAUGAUGUUAAAUGAAAUAAUAAGAGCACAUGAGUGACAGUUGACAUAUAAAAAAAAUAACAAAAGGUACUACAUACCUUUUAUAAAGGAAGCCAAGUUCAGAAAGUCAACAAAUGAACUGAUCAAAAUCAAAGCCCGUCCUUUGAAAUACGAAUAGCAUAAAAGUGCCCUCC